GCAGCAGGCUUGGCCACUGUCCGCUUUGUAAGCGGAUGAUCAUGGGUUCGAUUCCCAUCUGCUCCA
rnacentral:tRNA from 1 species